ACACGACUACAUUAAGAUACCCGUGUAGUCCUAGCCGUAAACGAUACUCGCUAGGUGUCGGCCACGGUGCGACCGUUGUCGGUGCCGUAGGGAAGCCGUGAAGCGAGCCACCUGGGAAGUACGGCCGCAAGGCUGAAACUUAAAGGAAUUGGCGGGGAGCACAACAACGGGUGGAGCUUGCGGUUUAAUUGGAUUCAACGCCGGAAAUCUUACCGGGACCGACAGCAACAUGAAGGCCAAGCUGAAGACUUUGCCGGAUUAGCUG
rnacentral:rRNA from 1 species